UGGUGCAGUGGUCCACAAUGUUUGCUCACAGCAACAUAGCCAAUGGGUUCUGGUUUCCAACCCAUCAGCCUGCUGCAGCCUUUCUGUAUGGAGUUGCAGUGCACGUUCUCCCCGCACCUACAUGGGCUCUCUCAGGGUACUCCAGCUUCCUCCCACAGACCAAAAGGCAACCUGUCCAGCGUGCACCCUGCCUCUCGCCUAAUGUCAGCUGAGAUUGGCUCCAGUUCCCCCGCGACCCUCUAGAACAUUUGGCCAAAGGACAGCAGUUGAAAAUUACUCUGGCA